CAUCUCUUACUUGGUAAUCUAAAAACACCAGAACCCAUCUGAUCUUGGAAGCUAAGCAAGUUAAUUGGUUGGUACUUGGAUGAGAGAUCACCAAUGAGCACCAGAUGC
rnacentral:rRNA from 1 species